GGGGGAUAACGGUUGGAAACGACCGCUAAUACCCCAUAUGCCGAUAGGUGAAAUGAAUUUCGCCUGAGGAUGAGCUCGCGUCUGAUUAGCUUGUUGGUGAGGUAAUGGCUCACCAAGGCUUCGAUCAGUAGCUGGUCUGAGAGGAUGAUCAGCCACACUGGGACUGAGACACGGCCCAGACUCCUACGGGAGGCAGCAGUGGGGAAUUUUCCGCAAUGGGCGAAAGCCUGACGGAGCAACGCCGCGUGAGGGACGAAGGCCUCUGGGCUGUAAACCUCUUUUCUCAAGGAAGAAGAUAUGACGGUACUUGAGGAAUAAGCCACGGCUAAUUCCGUGCCAGCAGCCGCGGUAAUACGGGAGUGGCAAGCGUUAUCCGGAAUUAUUGGGCGUAAAGCGUCCGCAGGCGGCCUUUCAAGUCUGCUGUUAAAGAGUGGAGCUUAACUCCAUCAUGGCAGUGGAAACUGAUUGGCUUGAGUAUGGUAGGGGCAGAGGGAAUUCCCGGUGUAGCGGUGAAAUGCGUAGAUAUCGGGAAGAACACCAGUGGCGAAGGCGCUCUGCUGGGCCAUUACUGACGCUCAUGGACGAAAGCCAGGGGAGCGAAAGGGAUUAGAUACCCCUGUAGUCCUGGCCGUAAACGAUGAACACUAGGUGUCCGGGGAAUCGACCCCUUCGGUGUCGUAGNUAACACAUUAAGUGUUCCGCCUGGGGAGUACGCACGCAAGUGUGAAACUCAAAGGAAUUGACGGGGGCCCGCACAAGCGGUGGAGUAUGUGGUUUAAUUCGAUGCAACGCGAAGAACCUUACCAGGGUUUGACAUCCUGAGAACCUCUUAGAAAUUUGAGGGUGCCUUCGGGAAUUCAGUGACAGGUGGUGCAUGGCUGUCGUCAGCUCGUGUCGUGAGAUGUUGGGUUAAGUCCCGCAACGAGCGCAACCCACGUUUUUAGUUGCCAGCAUUUAGUUGGGCACUCUAGAAAGACCGCCGGUGAUAAACCGGAGGAAGGUGUGGAUGACGUCAAGUCAUCAUGCCCCUUACACCCUGGGCUACACACGUACUACAAUGCUACGGACAAAGGGCAGCAAACUCGCGAGAGCUAGCAAAUCCCACAAACCGUGGCUCAGUUCAGAUCGUAGGCUGCAACUCGCCUACGUGAAGUAGGAAUCGCUAGUAAUCGCAGGUCAGCAUACUGCGGUGAAUACGUUCCCGGGCCUUGUACACACCGCCCGUCACACCAUGGAAGUUGGCCACGCCCGAAGUCGUUACUCCAACCCUUGUGGAGGAGGACGCCGAAGGUGGGGCUAAUGACUGGGGUGAAGUCGUAACAAGGUAGCCGUACCGGAAGGUGCGGCUGGAUCACCU
rnacentral:rRNA from 1 species